CAGGAAACUGUGACAAAAAGAUUGUGCCUUCAAUGCAGCCUUUGAAGCUAAACUACACCACAGCUUGUGCUAAUUUUCACCUGACAAUUAACAUCAAGAAAAGAAAGAUUCUCUACUGGCCAGCACCACAACAUUUAUACUUGGAACCAUCACUUAUGACAAAUGGAGUAAUUCUGAAUGCUGUGGGCAAGUUCACUUACCUUGGCAAUAUACUUUCCAGAAAAGUACACAAAAAUGAUAAGUUUGAUGCAUGCAUUGCCAGUGCUAGCCCAGUAUUUGGAAGGUUCCAAAUACAAGUGUGGGAGAAAAAAAGAUUGUGUACCAAACUAAAGGUCUAAAGAGCCAUAGUGCUGAUCUGUGAAACCUGAACAGUAUUCUAGUGUCAUUCCAGAAAAUGGAGUCAUUUCCAUUUGAGUCAUCCUAGGAAGUUUCUGAAGAUCUCAAAUGGCAAGAAAAGAUACUAAACACUGAGGUACUUUCUCAAAAUGAACUGCUAAGCAUUCAAACUUUACUGCACAAAGCAUAACUCUGAUAGGCUGACCAUGAUUUUAUGAAGGCAAAGCACUUACAUGAAAAUCAGAGGAAAGGAUACAAGGAUACUUUCAAAGUCUCUUAAGAACUUUGGAACUGAGAGACAUAGGCAACACCAGCAAAGCACUGCCCAGCAUGGUGUGCCUGCAUCAGAGAAGACACUAUUCUCUAUAAGCAAGGCAAAUUGGAGUAGCUUGGAAGAAAAGCGAGAUGUGCACAAUUUAGAGACAUCUCCAUUCCAAAUGUUCAUACAGAUAAUGUGUGCUUGACUUGAAUGAGACUCUUCUGAGCUUAUAUAAGCCAUAUUCAGACACACUGUCCCUUACCCCUGACAUAUUAAUGUCACUUUGAUUCAUUUUGAGCACAAAGGAAAACACUAAAUUUUCUUCAAGUAUUGUAUCUUUCAAACUAGCUGCUGCCCAAAUUUUAUACUUUAUCUUCUAAUUCCAUGCCAAAGGUCUCUCAUUUCUAAAAUGCACUCCCUCCUCCUCUUUGCCUCUUACUUUGUGAAAACUCAGGUGCCUCCUAUUUGAAGUUUUUUUUCUUUUUUGCCUUUGAUUAAACUUUUUUUUUUUCAUUAUUUUGAGUUCCAAAUUCUCUCCCUUUUCUCCUAUUAUCCCUCAUUGAGAAGGUACAUGUGAACUAUUUACAUUCAAAACAUUUUACAUAAGUCAUGUUGUGAAAAAAAAAAAAACAGAUCCCUUCCCCAAAACCAAGAAAAAUAAAGUCUAAAAAGUAUGCUUCAAUCUAUAUUUAAGUGUUUUUUGAUUUCCACAUUCCCCCCUCAUUAAACUCCUGAAAGGAUUGCUGCUGCCUUUGUCUUUGUACUUAUAGCAUUUAAUAGUGUCAUGCAUAUAUUAUGAACUUACCUGGUUACUGAAUAUAAUUGAAUAAUGUAAAUUGAAUCAAAUCAUUCUAAGAAAUCCAACAAAACCAUGAAAACAUAAUAUUGAACCAAAUCACUCUUUUCCGCUGCUCUUUCCAUAUUGCCACAUCUAUUAUUUGUUUACAUAUCUGAAUGAGAAAAGUUGGAAAAGUAAAAUUUAAAAAUAUAGUGAACUUAAAAAAUAUUUCCCACUCAAAAUUCUUGAAAGAACUCAGUUUCAAGUAGUUCAUGGGCUCACUUUAUAUGAUCUUUAUCUGUGAAUUAGGACAGUAACUGUUUUUACAGCUAUGGCAUGAAACUGAGCUCUUCUAAAUUAGAUCAUGUGACAGACACCUCUUAUAUCAACAUAGUGGAGUAACUUGAGGAUUUGGGGUAGCCUCCCGUUUUAAAAGACAAACUUCACAUCAUUGCUCUGUAUAAUUAUGCUGAUACAGAUACACAAUGCACAACAUGGGUAUAUGCUACAUAUGUUCUUAUGUAAGCACACAAAUACAUGGAUGUAAUAUGUAUGUAUGCAUGCUUAUUCUGGACUGUGGCCAAUAGUUUUGAUUAUAUUACUUGGUUACAAAAGACCUGUGGUGAUCAUAGGGGUAUAAUACAAAUUUCUGAAAUACAAUGGCUACUAUACAUGUUGUUUUAAUUUCAUUGCCUUUUCAUAGCUUAUCGAUGUUCAGGGUUAAUCAGGAAUCUAGAGUAAUAAAAUGAGACAGAGUUUUAAUCUCACAGUUUUAUUUGUAAAGAAAGUAGCAUGAAAAGCCAUAUUUAAAUGUACUUAAAAUCUGAAAAACCCAAGACUGUUUUUGUGAUGUGUAUGUUAAAGUGCUUGUAAUAACAAUUUUUUAAAAAAUUAACAAGCUUUCUCAUUUUAAAAAACCUAGUUUAUAUUCUAUUUUGUUAAUGGUAUGUAAAUAGAAUGAGUUAAAUGUAGAGAUACUCAGUUCAGGGUUUUGCUUUAGUUAUAUGGGGAACAGUUAUAUACAUUUCAAGUUGGUAACAGGACUUUUUUUUUUUUUUUAUAAUUUUCAUAAUCUCAUGUGAUAGAAAACAAUACCUUAGGGGAGGGUAGGUGGUGCAAUGAUUAGAGCACCAGCCAUGAAGUCAGGAGGACCUAAGUUCAAAUCUGGCCUCAGACACUUAACACUUCUUAGCUGUGUGACCCUGGGCAAAUCAUUUACCCCCAAAAGCCUCAGCAAAAAUAAAUAAAUAAAUUUAAAAAAAUAAAAAAAGGGGCAGCUAGAUGAUGUGGUGGAUAGAGCACCAGCCCUCAAGUCAGGAGGACCUGAGUUCAAAUUUGGCCUUAGGCACUUAACACUUCUUAGUUAUAUGACCCUCAGCAAGUCUCUUAACCCCAAUAACGUUAGGAAAAGAAAAAAUAAAUGAAAAAAAGAAAACAAGACCUUAUUUACGAGAAAUUAGAGUGAAUCCAGAUCCAGCCAAGACAUUUGAUUCUGCCCAUUCCAAUCUCUUCUUUCUAUCUCAUGUCUUGCCACUUAACCCAAAUAGUUCUGGAGGAGACAGUGAGGCUGGUGACUUUACACAGCCCACCCCCUACUUAAAUCCAAUUCACUCACAUGUCAAAACAUCAACCUCCACAAACAACAAUUCCCGUCACUAACCCAGAUACCAAAAAUUCACAUAUUGCUCUGCAAGUUACUUGUGUCAGAAAGGAAUUUAAUAUGAUAAAUCAACAUAAAUAAUGUUAUUAAUGGCUUUGUGUAUUACCUUUACUAGGAAUAUGCCACAUUUUAAUGGUAGAAUUUCAGGUAGUGGGGCAUCAAGGUCAGAUAUUUUGGGAAAGGUAUUUAUGUUCUAGACUUUUCAAAUCAUACUGAAUAGGCAACUACUUACUCUAUUUGACACUUUAGGCUGGGUGGCCCCAAUAUAUUAGUCACUAAAUACUACAAAACUUGGCUGGAUUUAAGGGAAUUGCAAAUACAUAAUUGAUAAAGAUGAAGAACAUGAAAUAAUUUUCUCAUUUUUCUUCAACAAUAAAGAAUAAUAUAAUACUAUGUAUGACAGAUCUUGAAAUCACACAAAUUACUUAGAUAAGGAAUCUAUACCAGAGAAGGACUAUGGCCUUCCCUGAUACUCCAUUCUUAAUCACUGAAAGUGUACUAAUAUUGUAAUAUAAACAGCUUAGAAAUCCAGGUUUUCAGCAUGCGAAAGGAAUUCUGUAAACCUCAAAAUUAAAACAACCUGUAAAAAGAUCUAUAAUUUGUUCCAAAAAGGAGAGAUUUCAUCACAAAAUGAAGUAUUUCCAGUGCUGUUAAAUAAAUAUUCUACCAGGAAGUGUGCUUCAAUAUAUCUAAAGGCAUAUCAUGAUCU
ensembl:lncRNA